rnacentral:lncRNA from 1 species
UUCCCCUUUUACUCCAUCUUUGUAAACUAUGCAAAGCAACACUUAUUAUACCACCACCGUCUGUACCUCACAUAGUUCGGUGAGGACUUGAUAAUUGAUAUCCGAAAUUCUAUUAUUUAAAAAUAUUAAGAUAUCAAAGAAUAUUAUAUUUUCAACACAAUUCAAAGAAACCAUCAUUCUUAAUUUGAGUCAAAAAUAUACUCUAGGAACAAGUAAUUAGACAAAACAUAUUCAUAUUAUUUGAGUUAAUCUUUUUGUGGAUUCAAUCUGAGAAUCUCCUGAUUUAAUAUUAUGUGAAACAACUGUUUACUUUAAAAGCAUAAUCUAUUAGCAAUAAUAUUUUUAAUAUUUUAUAUUUAACAGGCAUGCUAGCGAUUGCAUUUGUCCGC